rnacentral:misc_RNA from 1 species
GAUGAAGAACGUAGCGAAAUGCGAUACUUGGUGUGAAUUGCAGAAUCCCGUGAACCAUCGAGUCUUUGAACGCAAGUUGCGCCUCAAGCCAUUAGGUUGAGGGCACGUCUGCCUGGGCGUCACAUAUCGUUGCCUGAUGCCAGUUUCCUCGUGAUGGGUGACUGUGCAGGGCGAAUGAUGGCUUCCCGUGAGCAUUGUUGCCUCAUGGUUGGUUGAAAAUUGAGUCCUUGGUAGGGAGCGCCGUGAUAGAUGGUGGUUGAGUGACGAACGAGACCCAAUCAUGUGAGACCCCUACCGAAUUUGGCCUUCAUGACCCACUUGCGUCUUUGGAACGCUCAUGACGAGACCUCAGGUCAGGCGAGGCUACCCGCUGAGUUUAAGCAUAUCAAUAAGCGGAGGA